UCCCAUCCCCUUUCCUCCCUGCAAGUGCCUUCCAAGGCGGCUCCAGUGGGGAGAGGAGGUUGUAUGUGGGAAGCCUUUUUCUCACCAGUAAUCCUUGACAUUGAUCCCUUUUUUAGUAGUAUGAACUAUUACGUAACACACUUCUAGUAUGAUGAAUAUUUUCUGUACUGGAGAGAGAAUAAGCUGAGCAAUUCUUGUGGCUUGCACUUUUGUGGCGGUCCCAGUCGUUUUUGGGAGGAACCCCGGGAAGGGGCAAAAUGGAUAGAGGGGAGCAAACACUCACACGCGUGUCAUUCUCUUGAAAAAGAGUUGGAAUGGCCAGUUUUAAACAGAUGCUGUUGUUCUGAUCAGAGUCCACAUUGGAAAGCUGACUUGGCAUUCCCUCUUUAUGACACUUUUAGCCUUCGUAUAGAUCGGAUCUUCCUUUGGUCAGCGUGCCUGAGGGACCCACGCCGUCAAAAUCUUCUGUUUGCCAUCUCAAGGACUGUCGCUGAGAGAUAAUUUCCGGUGCGAACUUUCUGGCUAUGGAAGAGAACGCAGGGUAGACGGUCCGCCUCAGAGGGCCCCGGGAAGGGUCUCGCAUGAAGGCCACGUCUCUUCUUUGCAGCUGGGGUUGACUGCUCCAGGGUCCCGAAGACACCGACCGGGCACUUGAUCUCCCAGAACGUUCAUCAGAGAAAUGACGAGCAUCAGACCGUGAUCGACGACGUGUUCUCUGCUGGAGAUGGAGAGCGGCAGACAGACCGAUUCACGCAAAGGAGAUGCUGGCAGUCCCGUCAUUCGUGAGGCCGAUGCCAGGAAGGAGCUGCGUGGGACCGUCAGCGGGGCGCUAGCUGUGCCGAGAAGGAGAAACCCGCAGUCUAAACGGGGGACCCACGGGUCGCAUCGCACCUGAAUGGAGUCCGAGACAGGACCCACCGCCCUCCUGGAUGAACGCAGGGACUUCCUUUGCAGCCUGCUGAGCGACUCGUUGAAAGCGAGCAAAUGAACGUCACUGUGUGAAGCCUGCUCUGGAGCUGAUUUUUCCUCGGCGGUUAUUUUUGCAGCUUCUCGUGUCAUUUUGCCUGAGGCAGAAAUCUUCAGCCCUCGCUGAAAUAAACCUUGUCCCACUGAAAAA